GGCCAAGUUUUUAAGGGCGCACGGUGGAUGCCUUGGCACUAGGAACCGAUGAAGGACGUGGGAGGCCACGAUAGGCCCCGGGGAGCUGUCAACCGAGCUUUGAUCCGGGGGUGUCCGAAUGGGGAAACCCGGCAGUCGUCAUGGGCUGUCACCCGCUGCUGAACACAUAGGCAGUGUGGAGGGAACGCGGGGAAGUGAAACAUCUCAGUACCCGCAGGAAGAGAAAACAACCGUGAUUCCGGGAGUAGUGGCGAGCGAAACCGGAUGAGGCUAAACCUUGAGCGUGUGAGACCCGGCAGGGGUUGCGCUUGAGGGGUCGUGGGAUUUUUCUUGAUCGGUCUGCCGGCCGGUCGGCGAGUCAGAAACCGUAUGGGUAGUCGAAGGACAUGCGAAAGGUCCGGCGUAGAGGGUAAGACCCCCGUAGACGAAAUCUGUACGGCUCGUUUGAAGAACUCCCAAGUAGCACGGGGCCCGAGAAAUCCCGUGUGAAUCUGGCGGGACCACCCGCUAAGCCUAAAUAUUCCCUAGUGACCGAUAGCGGAUAGUACCGUGAGGGAAUGGUGAAAAGUACCGCGGGAGCGGAGUGAAAUAGUACCUGAAACCGUGUGCCUACAAGCCGUGGGAGCGUCGUUCAUCAGCUUGCUGGUGGGCCGUGACUGCGUGCCUUUUGAAGAAUGAGCCUGCGAGUUUGCGGUGUGUAGCGAGGUUAACCCGUGUGGGGUAGCCGUAGCGAAAGCGAGUCCGAAUAGGGCGGUUGAGUUGCAUGCCCAAGACCCGAAGCGGAGUGAUCUAGCCAUGGGCAGGUUGAAGCGGAGGUAAGACUUCGUGGAGGACCGAACCCACCAGGGUUGAAAACCUGGGGGAUGACCUGUGGUUAGGGGUGAAAGGCCAAUCAAACUCCGUGAUAGCUGGUUCUCCCCGAAAUGCAUUUAGGUGCAGCGUCACGUGUUUCUUGCCGGAGGUAGAGCACUGGAUAGGCGAUGGGCCUUACCGGGUUACUGACCUUAGCCAAACUCCGAAUGCCGGUAAGUGAGAGCGUGGCAGUGAGACUGUGGGGGAUAAGCUCCAUGGUCGAGAGGGAAACAGCCCAGAACACCGACUAAGGUCCCUAAGCGUGUGCUAAGUGGGAAAGGAUGUGGAGUCGCAGAGACAACCAGGAGGUUGGCUUAGAAGCAGCCACCCUUGAAAGAGUGCGUAAUAGCUCACUGGUCAAGUGAUUCCGCGCCGACAAUGUAGCGGGGCUCAAGCACAUCACCGAAGUCGUGUCAUUGCAG
rnacentral:rRNA from 1 species